rnacentral:rRNA from 1 species
GAUGAACGCUGGCGGCGUGCCUAAUACAUGCAAGUCGAGCGAACAGAUGAGGAGCUUGCUCCUCUGACGUUAGCGGCGGACGGGUGAGUAACACGUGGAUAACCUACCUAUAAGACUGGGAUAACUUCGGGAAACCGGAGCUAAUACCGGAUAAUAUAUUGAACCGCAUGGUUCAAUAGUGAAAGACGGUUUUGCUGUCACUUAUAGAUGGAUCCGCGCCGCAUUAGCUAGUUGGUAAGGUAACGGCUUACCAAGGCAACGAUGCGUAGCCGACCUGAGAGGGUGACCGGCCACACGGGAACUGAGACACGGUCCAGACUCCGACGGGAGGCAGCAGUAGGGAAUCUUCCGCAAUGGGCGAAAGCCUGACGGAACAACGCCGCGUGAGUGAUGAAGGUCUUCGGAUCGUAAAACUCUGUUAUUAGGGAAGAACAAAUGUGUAAGUAACUAUGCACGUCUUGACGGUACCUAAUCAGAAAGCCACGGCUAACUACGUG